UACGGAGGGGGCUAGCGUUGUUCGGAAUUACUGGGCGUAAAGUGUGCGCAGGCGGCCGAGCAAGUCGAGUGUGAAAGCCCCGAGCUUAACUUGGGAACUGCGCUCGAAACUACUUGGCUAGAGUGUGGCAGAGGGAGGUGGAAUUCCACGUGUAGCGGUGAAAUGCGUAGAGAUGUGGAGGAACACCGAUGGCGAAGGCAGCCUCCUGGGCCAACACUGACGCUCAUGCACGAAAGCGUGGGGAGCAAACAGG
rnacentral:rRNA from 1 species